rnacentral:rRNA from 1 species
UACGUAGGGAGCAAGCGUUGUCCGGAAUCAUUGGGCGUAAAGCGCGCGUAGGUGGCCUCAUAAGUCCGCUGUGAAAGUCCAAGGCUCAACCUUGGAAAGCCGGUGGAUACUGUGAGGCUAGAGUACGGAAGAGGCGAGUGGAAUUCCUGGUGUAGCGGUGGAAUGCGCAGAUAUCAGGAAGAACACCCGUGGCUAAGGCGGUUCUCUAGUACGGUACUGACGCUGAGACGCGAAAGCGUGGGGAGCGAACAGG